UUCUGAGUUUUAUUUCUAGCCUAUAUAUAUAUAUAUAUAAUUAUUUUAUAAUAUAAAACAUUUAUACCAUGAUAGUAUGGGUGACAAAAAACUUUUUUAGCGCAAUAAAUAAAGUACUGUAAAGGAAAGAUGAAAUAGAAAUGAAAUAAACCUCAAAAAUACAAAAAAGCAAAGACUACUACUUUUACCUUUUGCAUAAUGGUCUAGCCAGUCUAUAUUAACGAAAAGAACUUUAGCUACAUACCCCGAAAUCAAGCGAGCUAUUCCAGAGCAACAACAUGAGUAAACUCUUCUCUGUGGCAAAAGAGUGAGAAGACUCUGGUAUAGAGGUGAUAAAUCUAACGAGCCUGAAGAUAGCUGGUUACUUGAGACUGAAUUUGAGUUCAAUUAAAAGCAUAUACACAAACAAAAGAAUAUGAUUGCUAUUAUUAUAAUUAAUUAAGGUACAGCCUAAUUAAUAAAGGAAACAACCUAAAUACAUGAAUAAAAAUAUUUAAAGGAAUUCUAUAUUGUGGGCCUGAAAGCAGCCACCAUAAGACAGCGUCAAAGCUUUACUUACCAAACACUCAUUAUUUCAAUAAUUUAUUCUAAUUCAUCUUAAUUAUCAAGUAAAUCUAUAAUUAGAUAAUAUACUACUAGAAUAAGUAAUAAGGAGAUAAACCUCUAAAUAUAUGUGUAAAUCAAAACGAACACAUCAUUGAUAAUUAACAAAUAUAUUUAAUAUACAAGAAUUAAAUAUUAUAAUAUGUUAACCCAACACAGGAAUAUAAAAGAAAGACUUAAAAUCCAAAAAGGAACUCGGCAAAUCUUGAGCUUCGCCUGUUUACCAAAAACAUCGCCUCUUGCUUAAAUUGUAUAAAAGGUACUGCCUGCCCAGUGACACCUGUUUAACGGCCGCGGUAUUAUGACCGUGCAAAGGUAGCGUAAUCACUUGUCCCCUAAAUAGUGACCAGUAUGAAUGGCAAAACGAGAGCUCAACUGUCUCCUUGGAUUUGUCAAUGAAAUUGAUUUUUCCGUGCAGAAGCGGAAAUAUUAUUAUAAGACGAGAAGACCCUGUGGAGCUUCAAACUUAAUGCUAAUUAUAUUAAAUAUUAAUUUAGCACAUAGCUUUGGGUUGGGGCGACCACGGGGUAAAAAAAAACCCCCGAGAUGAAAAGUUUAGAAAAACACUUCAAACAACAAUAUAGUUGACAUAAUUGACCCAACAAUUGAUCAACGAACCAAGUUACCCCAGGGAUAACAGCGCAAUCCUUUCACAGAGUUCAUAUCGACGAAUGGGUUUACGACCUCGAUGUUGGAUCAGGACCCCCCAAUGGUGCAACAGCUAUUAAAGGUUCGUUUGUUCAACGAUUAAAGUCCUACGUGAUCUGAGUUCAGACCGGAGUAAUCCAGGUCAGUUUCUAUCUAUAAACAAUUUCCCCUAGUACGAAAGGGCCGGGGAAAUAAGGCCCAUUAAAAAUUUAAGCCUUCCCAUUAACCUCUAAAAUUAAAUUAAGAAGGGAACUGGAAAAAACAUUAAUCUAAAAAUGAUUUAUU
rnacentral:rRNA from 1 species